AUCGAACGCUGGCGGCAGGCCUAACACAUGCAAGUCGAGCGGAUGAAGGGAGCUUGCUCCUGGAUUCAGCGGCGGACGGGUGAGUAAUGCCUAGGAAUCUGCCUGGUAGUGGGGGAUAACGUCCGGAAACGGGCGCUAAUACCGCAUACGUCCUGAGGGAGAAAGUGGGGGAUCUUCGGACCUCACGCUAUCAGAUGAGCCUAGGUCGGAUUAGCUAGUUGGUGGGGUAAAGGCCUACCAAGGCGACGAUCCGUAACUGGUCUGAGAGGAUGAUCAGUCACACUGGAACUGAGACACGGUCCAGACUCCUGCGGGAGGCAGCAGUGGGGAAUAUUGGACAAUAGGCGGAAGCCUGAUCCAGCCAUGCCGCGUGUGUGAAGAAGAUCUUCGGAUUGUAAAGCACUUUAAGUUGGGAGGAAGGGCAGUAAGUUAAUACCUUGCUGUUUUGACGUUACCAACAGAAUAAGCACCGGCUAACUUCGUG
rnacentral:rRNA from 1 species